rnacentral:rRNA from 1 species
AUACUCCGGGAACCGGGGCUAAUACCGGAUGGUUGUUUGAACCGCAUGGUUCAGACAUAAAAGGUGGCUUCGGCUACCACUUACAGAUGGACCCGCGGCGCAUUAGCUAGUUGGUGAGGUAACGGCUCACCAAGGCGACGAUGCGUAGCCGACCUGAGAGGGUGAUCGGCCACACUGGGACUGAGACACGGCCCAGACUCCUACGGGAGGCAGCAGUAGGGAAUCUUCCGCAAUGGACGAAAGUCUGACGGAGCAACGCCGCGUGAGUGAUGAAGGUUUUCGGAUCGUAAAGCUCUGUUGUUAGGGAAGAACAAGUGCCGUUCAAAUAGGGCGGCACCUUGACGGUACCUAACCAGAAAGCCACGGCUAACUACGUGCCAGCAGCCGCGGUAAUACGAA